GUGCUCACCUCGGUGGCACAGACACUGACACUGGAAUGAUACAGAGAUGAACAUGACCCUGCACACGGAUGAUGUACACAUUCGCGAAACAUUCCACAGUUAG